rnacentral:lncRNA from 1 species
CCAUCCCUCUGUGUGUUUCCUUCUCCUCUUAGACACACUGGAAAAUCCUGAGGCCUAAGACAAGCCAGGGGUAAUUCCCACUCUUGGCCACUGAGAUUUAUCCGCGGCAUGCAUGUGACCCAUCCAGGCCAAUUAUAGUGCGGGGCUUUCCUACCUGAUCUGGGGGAAACAAACCCUUCCUUGGCUCAUCACAGCCAGAGAAAAUGGGAACCUACACUGUGUGUAUACGACCAUCCACUUUUCUAUUACACACACUCCAGCCUACAGACUUGAAGAAGGCCCACACAGCAUCAGGAGGCAAACCCAGAGCACUGACAAUUGAUCCCACCGAUUGCCAUAGCAAUAAAACAGUGGCCACGAAAAGGAAUAUCAAAGAAAAAAAUCUGAAUAGCGAAUAUGUAGGAGUUCCCAAAGGUGCAGUGGCCCCAGCGUUGGACAUGUGGAGCUAGCUGCCUGUGAGCAAUGGAACACCUACUAAGACACUUGGAGAAGAAGGCUCCCAGAAAAAGUGGAAGCAAAGACAGGAUGCUGCAAAAAGGUUCUGCUUUCAUCUGCAGAGAUGUAGACGGAAGAUGGGAAGUUGGAAAUGACUUUUGUAAAGCCAUACAAAACCAGUCUUAUUUCUGGACCAGUUUCUAACUGACACGUUGGGCGACUCACCAUAUAUCUUACUUCUCCACGAAGUAAAGUUAAUACCGUCUU